GCCACUGGCUCGCCGGCAGGAAGAGAGGGCACAUCUCCAACUCCGUGACGGCGACGGCGACGGCGAGGGGAGGAGGAGAUGAAGCUGAAGCAGCUGGAGGGCCUCCUGGGGGGCCUGACCCAGUUCUCCGACCCCAAGGUGGAGCUGGAGCAGUACGCGACGGGCCCCCACAUCGCGUCGAGGAUGCUCUACACGGCUGAGAACAGCUUCGAUAACAUAGCUGGUAAAGUGGUGGCUGAUUUUGGGUGCGGCUGUGGUACCCUGGCUGUCGCGAGUGCUCUGCUGGAUGCCGAGCAUGUCGCUGGUAUUGAUAUUGACCUCCAGUCCCUUGAACUUGCUCAAGAAAAUGCUACUGAUCUGGAGCUGGAUAUCGACUUAAUUCAGUGUGACAUAAAGAACUUAAAUUUAAAAGGGCUUCUUGUCGACACUGUUGUCAUGAAUCCUCCCUUUGGGACAAAGCGAAAAGGAGCUGACAUGGAAUUCCUUUCUAUGGGCUUGAAGGUUGCAUCUCAAGCUGUCUAUUCUCUGCACAAGACUUCUACGAGAGAAGCAAGUUCUGCCGUGUACAUCUUUAAUGCCUGCUUUGUAGAGAACAUUGGAGCUCCAAAAGGAAUUACUCAAUUUUUACAUCAAGAAGGCAGCCCUGCGAAAUUGCAACGCAAUCAGUGCUGAAGUUCUGUGUGAGGUUAUUCUGAAUUCGGGAUUCUGGGCCGAAACCAUGUCUUUUGCUUCACACCUGCUGUGCUGUGGUUCCACAAGCAAAAGGAGCUCGAUAUCGCAGUCGAUCUGUGGCGCUUUGUCCCACAAGCUCGAGACGAAAGGGAAAGCUAGCAGCCUAGCAUGAUGCGGCAACAUGACGAGAUCAUGAUAUCACGCUCGUUGAACCACCACAGGGCUGGACUUGCUAGAAGAAGAAAACACAUGGGCGAUUUACGCACUUUUAUCCCCUUGUAAGCGGCAGGCAAACCCCAGUAGUUUAGCAGCCAUACCCACCCUGGGCAAUAAUAGAACUUUCCAGUACAUUGCCAGGCAGGAUUGGUGCUCUCUCUGUACCAGCACUUCUUCAGUUUUUUCCUUGUUUUAUACUAGUAUCAGGGAAAACAGCGUCUUGGAACAAAAUUCAGAGUUAAGUCAGUGAGCAUAGCGAGUUAUUCUCUUCAAA